AGUUGAUUUCACUUGUAAAUACUAUUACUCAUUCAAGAAAGAAACACUAGUUUUGUAUAACUUUUUCAGAAGGGACUGGAGUCUAGAAUACUCAAUUAGAUGAUCAACAUUAUACAGACACAUACUUUGUAAGAAGAGGCAAUAAUAGAUCAAUAUCUGUCACAAAUCUUUCUGCAAAAACCUUAAACCAAAUAUUAGCAAAUUGAUUCCAGCAGUAGAUGAAAACAAUAACACACUGGGAUCCAAGAGAGGUUUACAUUAGGAAUCAAGAUUGUUUUAACAAUAAGAUAUCAAUCAAUGUAAUGACCACAUUAACAAAGAGGAAAAUAAUAUGAUCAUCUCAUUUGACAAAAGUGAUCAUACAUUCAUGAAAGAAUCUUUUGGCAAAAUCGAAGGAUUUUUUUUCUCAGUAUGGUAAGAGGCAACUGCUAAACAAUUAUAGCCAAUAUCAUACGUAAUGACGAAGGACCUAAUACUUCUUCCCCUAAGACUGGGAACUCUCAUCACUUGUGUUCAAUAUUGUAUUAGACUUCACAGCUAGUACAGCAAAACAGAAUAAGAAAUAAAGAGAUAAACAUUAGUAGGAAAGAAAUAUAGCUGUCUCCAUUUACAGAUGACGUAAUGGUUUAUAGUGAACACCCUAGGAAAUCUACAAGGAAGUUAUAAGAAAUAAGAUAAUUUGGCAAAGAUACAAAAACAAUGUCAUAUAAAAAUCAACUGUAAACUACCUAUAGACACUUGCAAAAUGCAAUUAAAAAGAUUACCAAAGCAGCAACAACCAAAAAAGUCUUCAAGAUAUUUAAUAAUCUAGUAAUAAAGUGAUUUUACCUUAACAACAAAAAAGCUAUAAAUGAAAUGAAAAUGAGAGAAGACAGAUGCUUGCUAUCACUGUUAUCUAAGUUUUCUGAAUUUAUGGCUAAUUUCAAGCAAAUGAAAUGCACAUGAAUGUAUUAUUUAAAAACAAAGUUAUACUGUUGAGACAGGUUCAACUGACAAGAAACUUCAAGGAACUCAAUAUUCUUGGAACAAAUCUUGAUAUAUGUAGAAAAACCUGGUAUAUAAUAAAAGAAGUUAUCACCAACCAAUGGCAAAGAGCUAAAUUAUGCAGUAAAUGAGUUUGAAAACAAUUUGUUAGAAAAAUAGUGUUAGCUCUUCACCUAAGAAAUGCCUACAUCAUUUAUAGAUUUAAGUGAAAAUAAAGUGACAAAAACUGAAAUAAAAUCUAGGUAAUAUAAAAUGAAAAUUGGAAUGGGAGGGGCCUUUCUAAACAUGAAAAAAACCCCACUAUGAAAUAAUAUUUAAAGGGCAAAAAAGUGUAGUCUUGAUUGCCAAACAGUCACAAACAUAAAAAUGUGUAUAAAUUAUAAAUACAUAUUGUCAACACAAAUAUAUUUAAAUGCACACAUUCCUAUUUACAUAUAUAUACAUUUACAUCUAUGUAGACACGGAAAUGUGUGCUUAUUUAUAUGUAAAUAAUAUUUAAUUCUUAACUCACAGGGUAAAUGAAAACUAUAAAAACAAACAAUGAAUGGGAAAUCUGGGCAAAGUACAGAGAAACACCAAUAUCAAUAUGAAAGUUAUGGAAGAACUUUUAAGACAAAAAUAAUAAUCUUCAAUAAUACUUAAAAAUACAUACUUAAAUCAUAUUUUUAGAAAAUUCCAUUGAAAAUAAUGUAAAGAUUGGUAAUUAUUGACGGCAAAAUGUGUAGCGAGAUUGAACAUCUCACAUACCUCAAUUGGACUAAAUUUUCUGAAAAUCAGUAUGUAGCAAGCAUUCAGUACAAUGUGCAGAUCUCUGAAGGAUAUGUUCUAAAACAUCCACAAAUUUAAGAUUUUUGUGUAGUAUGUAAUUUGCCUCAUUAAUAUGUAUAAAAUAUUAUUAAAUACAUGAAUGACCUUUAAACAUUUUAACAAGAAUAAUUAUACAAAAAGCAAUUAGUAGAGAACAAUAAAGUCAGAUUGAGGAGCAGAGUUGAGGGAGUGGGCUGAAACUCUUACUUUCUCAGAGAACCCUUGUGUUGAUUUAUUUUAUGCAUUUAAAUCUUUGAUCCAUAUGGUUAUUUACAUAGUUAUAAGAUCCAGGAGAAGGGAGAAAAGAAAAUCUGGAGACAAAUAAUUACAAAUUUAUUCUUUGGGAGUUCCCGUCGUGGCGCAGUGGUUAACGAAUCAGACUAGGAACCAUGAGGUUGCGGGUUUGAUCCCUGCCCUUGCUCAGUGGGUUAAGGAUCCUGCGUUGCUGUGAGCUGUGAUGUAGGUUGCAGACAUGGCUCGGAUCCUGCAUUGAUGUGGCUCUGGCUUAGGCCAGUGGCUACAGCUCCGAUUCGACCCCUAGCCUGGAAACCUCCAUAUGCCGCGGGAGCGGCCCAGAAAAAUAGCAAAAAGACAAACAAACAAACAAACAAACAAAAAAACCAAAAACAAAAUUAUUCUUUGAAUAUUCGGGCUGAAUAUUGUGAUGCAGAAAAAUCUUACAAACUAGAGGAAGAGCAAUUAAUUUAUCCUACAGGGAUUGUUGACUUGAGUCAUUGUCCUUCCAUGGUCUGGUCCUGGGUGUGGUCCCCAGUGACAUUUGGCUUUGAAGAAUACUAGGCAGGUUGGCCUGCCCCAUGCUUGUUCUGUCAGUAAGCCCUUUGCACUAAAAUUAGCCAUCUUCCAGUCCCCACAGCCCUCUCUCUCAAGGGCUGGAUGGUAUCUUUGCAAUCAAAUAUCUUGACCUGUAUUUAUAUAUCUAUGACGGCUAUUGGGACAUCUCAAAUGAAAAGCUUCGGGUAAGUGAACCACAGCUGUAUCAUGUAUUUCUUAGGCUUUUUCUCAUUCUUUUGGAGUUGUUUGAUCCUGAAAUUACCCUUUGGAAGGAUACGACAUAGAACAUGAUCUUGGCUGUGCUACUAACUGAUCUCAGAGGGACAGGAGGGAGUGAUGGCUUGAAGCCAGAUCUUAGUUCCUUGCUCAGGAGAGGAACCUGGGCAGCCUGGGUGAAAAUAGGAAUCUUAGCCAUUAGACCACCAGGGGCUAAAGGGUAAAAGCAGAAUUGCCCUGUUUCUUGCCCCCUGUUGAAAGCAAGAAUGUUUCAAGCAGGCAAAGAUGGUAAAAACAGGUCAGAGAUACAGUACAACAAGUAGGAGAGAACACGGGAAGCAGUUUGGAAGCAAAACAGCACAGGAAGAGUAUGGAGCCCCUGCUAGUGGCAAGUAUGCUAAGGGGGUGAUUUAAAUCACUUAUAAAGGGGCAAUUCUCCCUGUCUUUGUUUUCCUUUGGUCAAUUAUCUUGCUUUGUUUCUCACACCUGAUUGAACCCAGGGCCCUCUCUGAUAUGCAUGCAUAUCUUUUAGCCAAGAUGGAUUUCAGAGCAAGGGAAUGUGGGAAGAUUGCCAGGACUUAUUCUGGCCUGUUGCCCCUUCACUUUUUUGAGUCUUUCUGCACAUGUGUAGUUGGGGUCUCCCUGACUCCAAGGAUGGGAAGUAUCUUGAUCUUUUGCCCAAGAAGGGCUUAGCCCCUUUCUGCCCUUGCCAUUAAAGUGUGCACAGCAGGCAAAGUCCAGUUAUUUACCUUCCUCCUGUUUUUAUUUCUAUCUUGAAAUAUAAAUGGGUGGCUGGUUGUAAAUGUCUGUCUUGGAGCCUACCUAUCUCCUGUCUCAAGUAUAAGCAGGAGACUAGUUGUAAAUAUCCUACCCUGGAGUCCAUCUAUCUCCUGUCUCAUAACCUUGAGAAUUUAGCAUGUUAUUUCACUUCUCUGGGCCUCAACUCCAUUAGAGUGACUUUGUAUAAGAGUCUAAGACCAUUUUCCCUACUACGGUCCCUUUACUUUUAGGAUGAGGAAUAAGAUUUAAAAUUAUACUAUUUCCUCUUUAAAUAGCAAUUCGAGUUCACUUAACUAGAAUAGUUAAACAGAAGUUUUUAAGUAUCUGUAAUUCUACUGGCCAAAGAAAAUUCACAAAUUUAAAAUUUUUACUUAUAUAGGACAUUGAAAUGCCACAGCUAGGAAGUACUAAUUCCUGUUUGAUUUCCUCACUCCUUUGCUUAUAAACUCCAUUUAAAAUAGGAACUUGUCAACCUCACAUUUACCUGAUAUUGGGUUACAAUCUGUCCUCUAUCUACUUUUCCUGUAUUAUCUCUUAGCACUAUUUCUAUUACAAGCAAGAUAUUCUGACUUCAUCCAGACAUUCCCUCUACUGUCUCAUUUCCAUAUAUUUUCUUAAUCUGUCCCUUCCCUCUGAAAUGUAUCACUUCUGUCCGCACCUGUUUCUGAGUUAAAAAUACUUUCUAAAUUUCAAGAUAAAUCUACCAUUUAUUUACAUUCAAGAUAUUGUUAUGUAGUAGUCAUCUAGGCAGUAGGCUAAAAGCUUUCUAUGUAUUGCCUAAUUUCUUGUCGAAACCAACCCUACAGGAUGGAUGCUAUUAUCCUCAUUUUACAGUUUUGAAAACUGCAAAGUAGUCAUCCUUGCCCACAUUAUACAGAUUAAAUUCAGAGCAAUUAAGCCACUUUAAUCAGGAGUUCACAGUUAAUGGAUCCCAAAGCCAAGGUCUCUACUGGUGAUCCUGAGAACAUACUCUCUAUCAAAGCUUGCUUUUAUAGUGUUAGCAAAAGUUAUGGCUAAUGAGCAUCCGUUAGCAUCUGGAAGUAGAGAUCCUGAAAUGAAUGAAACAUACUCCUGCCCUUGAGGUCUCACAGCUGCUUAUUCCUCCAAGGAAAAGAAAACUUUUCUCUCCCAAUAGCACUGUAUCUAUAAUUUUUUAGAGAAAUCACAUUUGAAAUUUAUUUUUAAUUUUUAGUUUAUUCUUAAUUUACAAAGUGUAAUCUAAAAUAAUGGAAAAGAAGGUAGAGAUCUUAAAUAUAACUUAUCCACUAUUUUUGUUGUUGCAUUUUCUCCCUGCUUACACAAAAUAUUUUGAGACUGAAUGAUCACUGAAUUGGAUUGAAUGGAAAAUUCACACAUUUAUGUACAGAAUUAUACCUAAAAAUACGUGUUGAAGAACAACUUCCUAUGUUAAUUUAAAAAUCUAGAAUUUAUAUUUACAUUUCCAGCUAUAAGAUAUAUAACAGUGACAUUUCCACCAAGUCUAAGGAAAGGUUUCAGGUAUGAUGAACUAGGGUAAACUCCCUUUCCUAUCUUAAGCUCAUCUGUAACAGAGAAUCUGCUUAAAAACAUACAGAGGGAAGUUUCCGUCGUGGCGCAGUGAAAACGAAUCUGACUAGGAAUCAUGAACUUGCAGGUUCGAUCCCUGGCCUCGCUUGGCGGGUUAGGGAUCCAGCGUUGCCGUGAGCUGUGUUGUAGGUCACAGAUGCUGCUCGGAUCUGGCGUGGCUAUGGCUGUGGCUGUGGCCGGCAGCAACAGCUCUGAUUAGAACCCUAGCCUAGGCACCUCCACAUGCCGCUGGUGUGGCCCUAAAAGGAC
rnacentral:lncRNA from 1 species